rnacentral:lncRNA from 1 species
GUGGUAUUAAGUAGUUUUUAACAUUGCCGCUCGUCUUGCGGUGCUAUGGUAAACUGGGUUAGGUUCUAAUUCAACUGCUUGCUUGAACGUUUCCAGACUUCUUGUCUCCAGUAAUUUGCAAAGCUAUUCCAAGAAUGUUAUAUGAUAUAGCUUUAAAACGAUCAUCUGGAGGAAUAAACACGUUUCCAUGUAUUGUAAGAUUCAAUUUUGAAGUACUACUACACAUUUUUCAACAUCCUGGGAGUGGUAAUAACAAAGAAAAUACAAGAAAUAUGCAUAUACUACUGAUGGUAUCACGUGGAAUACUUCCUGGACUUCCAUCUCUAAUUCUACAGGAAUAAGGUUUGAAAAGCUUAUUAAAUUUUACAAAUCCCAUGUAAAGUAUACUUAAUGAACGAAUAAUUCCUUUCUUUUGAAAUACUUCAAGUCUGAGAAUGUUUUGAUGUAGAUCCGAUAGCCUUGAUUUAAAUUGUGUUUUUUCUGGAGUACAUUUUGAUAACGCAUAAUCUAGAAUACGAACACUGUUAAUAUACUGCUUUUCACGGUAGGUCAUUGACGCCAGCAUUAACCAUCCAGUGAUUGCAUCAUGAUGAACAUUUUGAAGCAGGAAACACAUUUG